AGCAAAUAUAUCAAAAUAUGCCCACAAUGUAUCCCUGUUUCUCUCACUCUCUCCAUCUGUUUUUGUUUCUCACUAUUAUUCACACAAGCACAAACCCUAGACCACCAUUCAAAACCACCACCACCAAAAAUGUCUCACGCCGUGGUGGCGUCACCAUAUUUCCCCACCGUGAGGUUGGCGGCGAACUGACCAAGGCAGAGGUCGGCGAACUGAGGUCGGUGGCGAACUGACCAAACCAGGUAGCAGUGCGUGGAGCCGCCUACACUCUACCAUUGCUAAUCCUCUCGAUUUUAGACCUCUUACAUCAGAUCUUUGCCUCUCAAGAGUUUCUUCACCUUGAAUUUGCUAAACCUGUAGUUUUUGCUUCUUGUAAUUAAUUUGAUUGACAUGGAUUGAAGAAAACCCCUUUUUCUUAUACAAUUGAAAUAUGAAAGCCCCAAAAAAUAUAUUUAUAAAUAAAUAAAUAUAUCAGAUUACACAACCCUAGCUCUUUGGCUUCCAAGGGUUUUAUCAAAAUGCAUAGAAGUUCUAAUGGAGCAAAUAUGAAGGAGCUCAGUCUCAAUCUCUCUCAAUCGUCUCAUUGAAGAAGGCUAUUUACUUGCAGCAGAGGAAGAGGAAGGGGUAGAGGAAGGGCACUGUGGAAUGGACAGCAGCAGUAUGAUUUCACCAAAGUUUCUUGGAUCUUGUCAUCACCCACCUUACGGUAGGCUGCCUGAGCAUCUUGACACGACCACUCCAUUUUCUGGAUUUGGCAUAAAAAAGAUGGGAGAGUCUAAGGUUAUAUUUCUACAUAUUUUUCUUUGAGUUUUUGUUUUGAGAACAUCUGUCAUGUAUUUUUGUAACUGUUUAUGAUAGUAUGAAUAAUGAAACAUUUAAUAAUUAAUUUCUAUUCAGAUAAUUGGAUGGAUAUUCAUUUAAUAAUGGAAUUAUCUUUUUUAUCUCCAUUAAUUGUUAAGUUUCAUAUAUAGUUCCAGCACUUCAAUUAAUUUGGUUGUGAACAUUUUUCCUAGUAUGUUCUCUUUUUAUUCUUUUGCUCACAAGAAAUGAUCUGGCUUCUGUUGUCUUCCAUAGGUUCAACGAGUAAAUACUUAUGGGUAAGGAAGCUUCUUGUUCCUCUAUUUUUUUUGGGUUUAUUUUCUUUGUGUUUCUUGAUUUAAAUAAAAAGAUUCCGGAAACCUAAGAUAACGGCAGCAUAGUUGGCGAAAACAUUGCACACCGGUAUUUUUUUCAUAGUUUAACAGUGUUUUAGAAAUGUCGGGAAAGUAGACAUUAUUAUUAGUGUUAGUGCAAUGCAAUACACCAUGUUACUUGCU